GGCGGUAGGCUUAACACAUGCAAGUCGUGCGAGAAAGUAUCUUCGGAUAUGAGUAGAGCGGCGGACGGGUGAGUAACGCGUAGGAAUCUACCUAGUAGAAGGGGAUAGCCCGGGGAAACCCGGAUUAAUACCGUAUACCUCCUUUGGGAGAAAGAAGGCCUCUCUUUAGAAGCUUUCGCUACUAGAUGAGCCUGCGUAAGAUUAGCUUGUUGGUGAGGUAAAGGCUCACCAAGGCAACGAUCUUUAGCUGGUCUGAGAGGACGAUCAGCCACAUUGGGACUGAGACACGGCCCAGACUCCUACGGGAGGCAGCAGUGGGGAAUAUUGGACAAUGGGCGCAAGCCUGAUCCAGCCAUACCGCGUGUGUGAAGAAGGCCUUCGGGUUGUAAAGCACUUUAAGCAGGGAGAAAAAGUUAUAAGUUAAUACCUUAUAACCCUGAUGUUACCUGCAGAAUAAGCACCGGCUAAUUCCGUGCCAGCAGCCGCGGUAAUACGGAAGGUGCAAGCGUUAAUCGGAAUUACUGGGCGUAAAGCGCGCGUAGGUGGUUUGUUAAGUUGGAUGUGAAAGCCCUGGGCUCAACCUAGGAACUGCAUCCAAAACUAACUCACUAGAGUACGAUAGAGGGAGGUAGAAUUCAUAGUGUAGCGGUGGAAUGCGUAGAUAUUAUGAAGAAUACCAGUGGCGAAGGCGGCCUCCUGGAUCUGUACUGACACUGAGGUGCGAAAGCGUGGGUAGCGAACAGGAUUAGAUACCCUGGUAGUCCACGCCGUAAACGAUGACAACUAGCUGU
rnacentral:rRNA from 1 species